CGAAGAUUAGCUCAGGAUAGGAAAGAGUGGAGGUACGUGUCCAAACAGUCUUAGGACUGACGACCUAAUGAUGAUAAUCUAUAAAGGAAAUGUAAUCCUUGACUGCGGUGCCACCAAGGAUAUAGUAUAUACAUUAGUAUAAGAUUAUUUCCAUGGGCUCUGAUGAUUGUGUCGGUGUUUUGAAAGUUUCCAAAAUGCGAUUGAAAAGGUACCACUUGGAAGUUGUUUCCGGUUCCAUCUGGACUCUACCACAGUUUUUUCAAGAUGUUGUGUUCCAUACAUGAUUUCUACGUGAGGUUUCCGAUAUAGUGCAUCUGCGUUGCCGUGUCGUUUGUCUGGACGACGCUCGAUGUCGAACUGGUAUUCCUGUAAUCAUCGUGCAAUUUGUCCUUUCGGGUUCUUAGAUUGCAGAAAGUUCUUCACUUCAACGAGGCGUGAUCCGUUCCGAUCAUACGGGAACUUGUGGAAAUGUUCGAGUGUGUUAACGAGAGUCAGUAGCAUUCGAUAGGUGACAAUAAUUUCGUUCUUGGUUCCUAGACUGUUUUACUAAAGUAUUUGAUGACCUUUUCCUUUCCGUCUUGUACUUGAGGUAACACACCAAGUCUCACAGUACUAACAUCGGGAUCGUUGAACUCUGGCUGUGCAAAGACUGGAGCUCCAGAGAGUGUAACCUUCAGAUUGUCAAAUGCUUUUUGGCAUUCGGAUAUCUAUUGGAAUGAAACUCUUAUCGUCUGUGUAGUGGUCGGGCUAUAUUGGCAAAUUCCAGUACGAAUCUUUCCAACGAUAUAAAAGAUUUAUAGAGGCUAGCCUUGUUCUAGAAUGAUCCAGAAUGUGACGUCUAGAAAAUCUGGUCUUCUUUGUCACUGUGUAUGUUUAUUAUCUUACACGUAGACAGUGUAUGUUGAGUUGUUUACAUCUGACAAUAUAUACACAGCCGGCCGCUUUUUCAGUUGCUCUUGAAGUUCUGAUGUUCAUCUCACUUAUUAGGUUACGGUAGGAAAAGGCGAAACUCGAAAGCUAUGUGAAUAAAUAAUUUUGAAGAUAGUAUAAGUAAGUAUGUAUAUAUUCUUGUUUAGCAUCUUCCAUUUCACAACGUAAAAUUCUGAUCUGUAUUUCAGCAUUGGUUCAACAUUCUGGUAACGGUUAAGACGCCUUUUUUGGUAUUGGACUUUUUAAAUUUAUAAAAAUUUGGUGAUUCCGAAACAUAUUCCAUAAUUGUGAAUUGAAUUGAAAAUAAUGAAUUUAACUUUGCCAGUAGACCGCCUAGUUGUUUGUUCUAGGUUUUUAUUCUAUCAGGCUGAAGUUAUAAAAUUUGUCAUCUUUGAUAUCAUUCAGAUGUAAAAACAUCUUCGUUACCAUCGCCUUUAUUUGUAACCAUGGAAGAUUUGUUUACAUUUCGUUGACUUGAAUUCGACCAUAAGGUUUAAACGUCACUCGGGGUUAGUUGUAGACGUCUAGGCUCUCCGUGCAGGUGUUGCACAAAAAAAAUUGAAAAAUGAUAGAAAAUCUGUGCUAACCAGCCUGUCUCUUAUGUGCC
rnacentral:lncRNA from 1 species